rnacentral:rRNA from 1 species
CCUAGGGACUCUGCAGUGGGGAAUAUUGGACAAUGGGCGAAAGCCUGAUCCAGCCAUGCCGCGUGUGUGAAGAAGGCCUUCGGGUUGUAAAGCACUUUCAGUGGGGAAGAAAGCCUUGGGGCUAAUACCCUCGAGGAAGGACAUCACCCACAGAAGAAGCACCGGCUAACUCCGUGCCAGCAGCCGCGGUAAUACGGAGGGUGCGAGCGUUAAUCGGAAUUACUGGGCGUAAAGCGCGCGUAGGCGGUCUGAUAAGCCGGUUGUGAAAGCCCCGGGCUCAACCUGGGAACGGCAUCCGGAACUGUCAGGCUAGAGUGCAGGAGAGGAAGGUAGAAUUCCCGGUGUAGCGGUGAAAUGCGUAGAGAUCGGGAGGAAUACCAGUGGCGAAGGCGGCCUUCUGGACUGACACUGACGCUGAGGUGCGAAAGCGUGGGUAGCAAACAGGAUUAGAUACCCCGGUAGUC